GGGGUAGGGGGGUAUUUUGUUGGAGAUUCCUGUAUAUCUAUGGUCUUUUGAGGAUGGGAUAUAAUUUUCAGAAGUCAUCUGUGCUGUAAUUGUUACUUGCCACUGAGUUGCCUGAUACUACUGCCUCAACUUUGCCCUUCAUAAGGUUAAGGUUCUUCUUGUUUCACUGAACAGCAGCAGAAACCCACUUGUCUCAGAAGACUGGCUGGUUACGGUGGUUCGUCUGGAGGAGGGAUAACUGCUGAAGGAUCGGGACUCUUUAGGAGAAAUUCUCAACAGGAAUCCAAGGCAGGGAACAUAUGUUGCAAUGGCUGUUCUAAUGGACAGGAGUGUUCUUUGGGGAAAACAAAACAUUGCUAAAUUCUCUCCUCAGCUGAGCUGACACAUUCUGUUCUGGAAUUAGGGAACACAAUAAUGGGCUGGAGUUUUGAAUGAUGAGUUCAUUCUAACUUACUGACUGAAACCGGUGACUCAUAGGAAACAAAUUAAUGUCACUGAGAUGGAUGCAAAUGAGGAAUAAUAACAGGAACUCUCUUUGCUACAAGUGGCAAUGAUCAAGUGUGUGUUCCAAUUUGCAAACAAAAAACUUACAAAAGGAAAUUGUAUCGUUGUUACUAAAUGCCACUCCUAGCAGAAUCCCCAGUGAAGAUACUAAAGUCUGAAUGGACAGUGGAGACAAUAUCCGGUGCCAUUUGCACAUCUAGAAUACAGUGAAGACCUACUGAAGAUGUACUUCAACAAAAUAUUCAGGCUGUAUUCCUCUAUUAUAUGAAUGAAGACAUUUAAAUUGCCACCACUUUUACACAGCACCUUUGGGGAAGAAAAAUGUCAUGAGAAAAAAUACAAAUAUAUUUUAUUCUUAUAUCGUUCAGUUUGGCUCAACAGAAGUAGGUAUGGGAUAAUAGGCAAGUUCAUCAUUCAUAAGUUUUGGCCUUUAUUUUAUUUACUGUUCUUUGUACAAUAACUAAUUAGUUCAAGGAAAAAUGCCAGUGUCAUUUCAGUUGCUUAUAUUUUUUCUUCAGGUUGAGGUCUUCAGUUUCAAUAUAUAUUUUAUCAAUUUUCCUAAAACAGGUUUUUGAGGCUUAAUAUGCAAGCCAUUCAUUUACUCAUCUCUUAUAAAUGUAACAGUCCAGUUUUUAGUCCAAUGUUAUAAGGGAAAAAAAAUUUGUAUUCCAUUUCACUUACUCCAU